CCUCUCACUCCACCCCCUCUCCCCAGGUUGUCUCUCUCUCUCCAGGUGGUCUCUCCUUUCCACUCUCCCCCCUCCCUAGGUGGUCUCUCUUUCCUCUCUCCCUCCCUAGAUGGUCUCUCCUUUCCUCUCUCUCCCCGGGUGGUCCCUCCUCCCUCCCCAGGUGGUCUCUCCUUCCCUCUCUCCUCCCCUCACUCCCCAGGUGGUCUCCC